rnacentral:misc_RNA from 1 species
GAAAUGCGAUAAGUAUUGUGAAUUGCAGAAUUCAGUGAAUCAUCGAAUCUUUGAACGCACAUUGCGCCCCUCGGUAUUCCGGGGGGCAUGCCUGUUCGAGCGUCAUUAUCGACCAUCAAGCACAGCUUGGCAUUGGGCCUUCGUCCCCGCAGUGGACGGACCCUAAAGACCUCGGCGGCGGCGCAGUGGCCUCAAGCGUAGUAGAAAUAUCCCGCUUUACAGAGGCCUCGCGACGCCCGCUUCGAAAACACAUCACCUUAAGGUUGACCUCGGAUCAGGUAGGGAUACCCGCUGAACUUAA